GAGCUCCCCAGCCCUGGGAAACGGUCUGGGUUUAAGUGCUAGUUCUGCAUCUCCACGCGCACGCAUGGCGGUUGCAAGACCGGCUUCAGUCCCCACUGGUGUCCAUGCGAGAUGGUGCCCUUAAGAGGCCGGAUCCUUCAGACCAGCCCAGAAGGAUUCCUUUAGAAACCAGUGUUACAGAACAUCACGGAGGGAAGCCAAGCCAGGAACUCCAGGCAGGAGAUUGAAGCAGAAACCACAGAGGAAUACUGCUUAGGAGCAUGCUCUUUCUGGCUUGCUCAACUUGCUUUCUUAAACGGCCCAGACCCCACUUGCCUAGCAAUGGCACUGCCCACAGUAGGGAGGACACGCCCACCAUAGACCAAUCUCAUGUUCCUCAGCUAAGGUUCCCUCUUCCCAAGUGAUUCUAGUUUUUUGUGGAAAUGAAAAACAAAAACAAAAAUAACUUAACCAAUAUACAGGACCUCACUAUGUAGUAUAGGCUGGCCUCGAUCUCAAAGUAAUUCACCUUUCUCAGACUCCUUCGAGCUACGAUUACAGGUAUGCACCAACCACACCGAGCCUGGACUCAUCUUUCAGACACAUGAUGACAGGGUUUCUCUGUAGCCCUGGCUGUCCUGGAACUCACUCUGUAGACCAGGCUGGGCUCAAACUCAGAAAUCCGCCUGCCUCUGCCUCCCAAGUGCUGGGAUUAAAAGCCUGGCAGCAAAGUGCUAAGAAUACAUUGAGUGUUCAGCCUUAAGUAAAACAUCUGUAUCACCUGCUCCAAGACUUUGGAACAUUGCAGAAGAAGAGAGAGAAAUGAUGUAAGAGCCAGAGGACAGGACAGACUUGUGUGAAACACUGUCUUCUGAACGUGAAAGAGGAACUUCUCGUUCAAACCACCACAAGUAGGUCCAAAGCAACAAGGCCCAACAACCAUGAACUGACAACUUUAAGACUGUGAAACAAAAAUAAGCACCCCUGCCUUUCGUACUGACUGUUUCAGCCCAGGCCUUCCUCUCUGAUGCUGCAGUGAAUCUUCUAAGUCAGCCCAGGACUUACAGUGCCUCCACAUGAUAAGCAUGCUAAAGGCUCUGGUCUCUUCUCCCAGGCACCUGGAAUCAUGACUGUCUGUAGCAUGAACUCUUUUCCCUCCCCUUGUACUUACUUCAAACAAACAAACAGAAAACUAUGUCUGUCUUGGGAAGUGUUCUUGAUUCCCAACUCCUGUUCUACUUAUUGGAUUACAGUUCAUCUAUCAAGAAUCAACCCCAAGGGCAAAGGACACCAGAACAGCCCUACCCUGGACUUCCUGCUGCGUGCAUUGGCAUUGUCUACCAAGGAGGUUGCACCUGCCAUUCAGUGAGCUCGUGGAGGGAGACACAUCCCUCCAAUAUUUUUUUUAAAACUUGGUUGCUUUUUACAUUUUUGUUUGAUUGUCUGAUUACUUUCAGACAUAGUCUCACUAAACUUGCCAAGCUGGCCUUGAAUUCAUACAGUAGUCCAGACCGGCCCAGAGCUUGAGCUAUUACUCCCUCCUCCCCAAGACAGCUGUGAUCAGACCCAGCUGCCACCAGACCCAGCUUCUAAGACUGGGUUAGCAAGAAUAGCAUCAGAAAAACAGACACACACACAGUAUGGUGGCACACACCUCUCAUCCCAGCACUCAAAAAGACUGAGACAGGGCGAUCACUUGAAUCCAGGGUUGGAGACCCUGAGUCACAUGCAGAGACUCCAUCUCAGAAGAGAAAAGGAGCAGUUUCCCAAAGUCAUUGCUAUUAAAAUAAAACUUAUUAUUCUGACCAUACCUCUCACACUUUGCCCACUGUAAACAAUGAAAUGCAAGAAACUGAAAAACAUGAGAUGCAGAUUUUCAGGGUUUGGUUUUUUUUUUUUAGGGUUUUUUUUAAUGCAUAUUUGUUGUUGUUGUUGUUGUUGUUGUUGUUUUACCUGUGUGAAUGUGUGUCUUUUUUUUUUUUUUUACCAUGUGUAUGUCUGGUAUCUGCAGAGGCCACACAGGCCACUGCAUUGCCUGGGACUGGAGUUUCAGACAGUCAUGAGCUACCAUGUAGGUUCUGGGAUGUGAGUCCUCUGCAAGAACAGCAAGUGCUCUUAACAGUUGAGCCAACUUUCCAGGUCCAGGUGGACAUAUUUUAAUGUAUUAUAUUAUUAUGCUUGCACUGAAUGUUACAGAAAAAAAAAAGUUACAUUUUCUAAAUAGAGAGAUAGCAACUGGAGAGAAGGCUGAGUGGCUAAGAGCACUUGUUGCUCUUGUAGAGAACUCAGAUUUGGUCCCCAGUGUCCACACUAGGAACCACAACUCCAAUUCCAAUGGAUCAGAUGGCCUCCCUCUUCUGACCUCCUCAGGCACAAGGCAUCUGUGUGGUGCCAGGACAUACCUGCAGACAAAACACUCAUACACAUAAAAAUAAGUAAUCUGACUUAAAAGUACAAAAUAAAACCAUAAAAUGUCAGCCAGUGAUCCCCCCGAAUUAAAAGAAUGAAGAGAGAUAGGCCUAAGCCACAAUCAUAGCUUAUUAAGCCAGAAAUUAUUUUUCAUCUUCAUGUUCCAGCUGAGGGCAAGUCUAGAGAUCAGAAGAUCUGAAAAUCAGACGAGUAGCAAGGAGUUGUUUUUAAAAAGUUUCUGAUUCUCUGGUAUCAUUUCAGGUACUUGAUAGAAUAUGCAUUCCCUAUAAACAAGAGUCUCACCCAUCCUUCUUGGCCUCCUCGAUCGACUUCUUUCUUUUUUUUUUUUAAUUUUAUUUAUUUAUUUUAUGUAUAUGAGUACACUGUAGCUGUACAGAUGGUGGUGAGCCUUCAUGUGGUUGUUGGGAAUCAGAUAUAGAACCUCUGCUUGCUCUGGUCAACCCCGCUCACUCAGUCUCUGCUCACUCAGGCCCAAAGAUUUAUUUAUUACUAUAAAUAAGUAAGUACACUGUAGCUGUCUUCAGACACACCAAAAGAGGGCGUCAGAUCUCAUUAUGGGUGGUUGUGAGCCACCAUGCGGUUGCUGGGAUUUGAACUCAGGACCUUCAGAAGAGCAGUCAGUGCUCUUACCCACUGAGCCAUCUCACCAGCCCGGACUUCUCCUUUCUUGCCUCUUGGUACUGGACAUGUUGUGCAGGUAACACCCUCUCUGACCUAAAAAGCCUCAGUCUGGGGGAUACUUCCCAGAUGUCACUGUCCUGAAGGGGGGGCCUUGGAGAGCCUCAGAUCCCAAAUGGGAGGCUCCAGCCGACCUGAAUCUCUACCCAUUCCCCCACAAAGAUCACUUACAUACACAUGGUAAAAAAGACUGCUCGAGACUUUUGAUCUCAUUACUGCCAUGAGACUUGCAAGUGAUGGAAUAUAGGAGCCCCAAGUCCGACAUUUUUUAAUUCAGUGAUUUUAUUUAAUAGCAGCAAAUCUUAUUGUGAUCUUCUCUUGGACUCCUUUCAUUCUAGUUUAAAAGAUGAAGCUGCUGGAAUCCAACUGAUGGUCAGAAAAAAAAAAAAAAAAACACAAAACACAAAGUCCCUGGAUAAUAUGGAUCUUUGCCAGACCUCAGUAAUGUUUACUAUAGCCACCUCUUACUCUUUCAGGUACUCAAAAGAGCACUUGAGUCCAGACGUGGUAACGCAUACCUUUGACCCUGACACUCAGGAAACAGUGGCAGGUAAAUCUCUGUGAGUUUGAGGCUAGCCUAGUCUAUAUAGCAAGGUCCAGGCCAGCCAGAGUUAUAUAAUAAGACUGUCUUAAAGUUUUAAAAAGUGCACUUGAAUCCUAAUUCAUUUAGCAGUCAUUUAGCCAACAUUAGACACACAGAGAUUAUAAGAGGAGAAGGCCAUUCUGCUGUCAGGGUACUUAGACUCCGCCGUGCCAAGUCACCCAGCUGAACCUGGAACACAUAUCACAAACAAAAUGGUGACAGCUCAGAAGGAGGGAAUCCUUCCAAGCUCUGUGGUAACUGAAGAAGGAAACGCAUCAGGGAAGGCUUCGGGCAGAAUGUACAGAGGUGAAGAGCGAGCAGGUGUGAGACCUUUGGUCAGUUUAGUCAAUGAGCAUGAUAUUGAAAACUCAUGAUUUAUUUGGCUGGAACCUACAAAUACUUGGGUGAAUGUAGGGGAAACGGGUAGGGAAGUCUGUCAAGUCUAAAAACAUGGAAGGGUUUGAGGAUCUUGUUUUGUGUGAAAAUAGGUCUUAGGAGGAUUAUGUGAGUUAGAAGUAAAAGCAAUAUAAGUCAUGAGCUUAGGAGAUGAGACUGGAGACAGAAAGGCCCACUAAGGAGUUAUUUAAAUCAGACAGUGAAGAAAUGACAGCUAUUCUAAGUGUAUAGAAGUUCACCGCAAUGCAUCCACUUUGGGUCUGGUUAAUUCUGUAUGAGAUAUGUAUUUUAUUUGCAGGUCUUUUUGAUGAUAAAGUUAUAAACAAAAAUAAAUAAAUACAUCCAGUCCAGGAGCCCCAGUCUGUUCCUGCAUUGGAGUGCCCCCAAAAAGGAUCAGGAAAUUUCUUGGAGCAGAAUAAUGCAUCUUAGUGUUGGGGUUUAGGGAUCACCACACCAGCCAUACAGACACUGGUCUUAGUUAAGCAGGAAUAGUUUACUGAACGCACACCCUAUAGUGGUUGGACCAGAGACAUAGCUCAGAAUUAUCUGAAUUAUGAUAUCAUACAUUUCUCAGAGCAGGCUUUUUAUGGGGAAACAAAACAGAUUCAAAUGUUUAAAAAGCAAGGAGCAAUAUUACAUUUUGGCUUACUAGACAAAGUAUUAUCAGCUAACCUUUGAGCUGGCUGGUCCUGAGUGAGUUAAGAGGAGUAGUGGAUGGGUGGUGAACAUUUUAGAACAUUGAAAUAACAGAGUAUGAGUGUUAUAAUCAUCACUUUUCGGCUUAUUAGUAACAUUCUUCAGUGUCAGCCACAAGAACUACAGUGAGCUCAUCUGCAGAUGCAGGAAGUGCAGCCUGGCGGUCAGCUCUGACUCAAGAUAUUUUAGACCUAACAAUUCAUAUUGAACUUUGAUUUGAUGGGUCCUACGUAAAGCUUUGUGGAAUGUCUUAAGACUAACAAACCUCACAACAUCCUGAACAUAACAGGAGAUGUGGUCCGCAUGAUCCUUCUCUCAGUCAAGUAAUUAAUUUUUCUAUGUCAAUGAUUAGGCAGAUUACAACAACAACAAUAUGAAAUAGCUGUCAGGCAUGGAACAAAAUGGCUACGGCUAUGCUGUGGGGAGGGAAGGUCAGACCAUAACAGUAUAUAAACUUGAUCUUGGGAGUCCUACAGUAAGAGGGAACUUGGGAGUGUCUAGAGAGAUGGCUGAGUGGUUAAGGACACUUUCUGCUCUUUUAGAGGAUCUGAGUUCUCCAGCACCCAUACAAGGACCUAAAUUUAGUUCCCAGUACCCAUUCAGUUCACUGGAAGUUAGAGGAUGAACUCCAGGGGUCUGACACCCUCUCCAAAGACACACAUAUACAUGUGGCAUAUCCACACACAUUCACAUACACCUAAAUAAACAAAUUUAUUUUUAAACAUGUAAGUUGGUUUGAUCCAGUGUCUAACUUAUUUGAUCAAAGCACCACCACCGUUAUUAUAGAACACCUAUUAACAGUAGGCAGAAAAUGAAUGUAAAGCAGGGCAUAGUUUGUAAAAUGAGGCUUCGGUACAAAGCAAUGAGGUUCUGAGCUAGGACAUAAAAUGGAGCAGCCAGUCCUAGGCAUUUGAAAUCUACGAUAUUUCAAGUACAGUAUUUCCUCAGUUUAGUUAUUCCCUUUAUGGUCUCUAUGUAGAUAAAGCCAAAGCUGAGAGUUUGGGAGCCAUUUGAGGAACUGAAAACAUUAAAACCUUUGUGUUGGUAAGAGUGAGUAGGGUGCUGGGGUCCACACCUUGAAUCCCAAGCAGAGGCAGGUAGAUUUCUGAGUUCAGUGUCAGCCAGAGCUAAAUAGUGAAACACUGCCUCAAGCCCCCACCCCCUCAAAAAUAAUAAUAUUCCUAAAACAAGAUGAGAACAUUAUAAAAAAUAUAAUUAAAAGAAAAAGAAGCCGGGCGGUGGUGGCACACGCCUUUAAUCCCAGCACUUGGGAGGCAGAGGCAGGAGGAUUUCUGAGUUCGAGGCCAGCCUGGUCUACAGAGUGAGUUCCAGGACAGCCAGGGCUACACAGAGAAACCCUGUCUGAAAAACCAAAAAAAAAAAAAAACCAAAAAAAAAAAAAAAAAAAAAAAAGAAAGAAAGAAAGGAAGGAAGGAAGGAAGGAAGGAAGGAAGGAAGGAAGGAAGAAAGAAAGAAAGAAAGAAAGAAAGAAAGAAAGAAAGAAAGAAAGAAAGAAAAGAAGGAAGAAAGAAAGGAAAGGAAAGAAGAGAAAAGAAAAGAGAAAGAAAAAGAAAAAGAAAGAGAAAAAGAAAAAGAAAAAGAAAAAGAAAAAGAAAAAGAAAAAGAACAAGGUCUGAUGUCUUAUACCUGAAAUCCCAGCACAAGGAGGAGGGCCAAGGGUUCAAGGCCAGCCUGGGCAACAUUGUGAGUUCUAAGCCGUCAGGAUACAAACUGAGACCUUGUCUCAAUAAAGAACUAGAAAAAGAAAAGGAGAAGAGGAGGAAAAAGAAAGAAUUUCAAGUAAUGAAUAAACUUAAAACUAAUAUAAGUAUACUGGAAUAUAAAAUUGGGGAACACCCCCCCAAAAACUAAGCAAACAAAAUGACGAGGUAUAGGACAGUAUCUUAUCCUAGGUGGGCUGCUUUGAGACAACAGUCUCACAUAGUCUGGAUGGCCUAGAAUUCAAGAGGGAGUGACUUACACUCCCAAUCCUCCUGCCUCUACUCACCAAUGCUGGAAUUACAGGCAUGUACCACUUUAAUAUAUAUCAAAUAUAUAUAUUUAUAAAAUAUAUUUUCAGUGGUCUCAUUAUGUAGCCAAGGCCAUCCUGGAACUCACAAUGUAGUGUAGGUUGACCUAAAACUAUCAUUCUUCCUGCCUUAGUUAGUUAGCCUCUAGAGCAAUGUUUCUCAACCUGUGGGUUGUGACUCCUUUCACAGAGGUCACCUAAAACCAUUGGAGAAAACAGAUAUUUACAUUACAAUACACAACAGUGACAAAACUGUAAUUAUGAAGGAGUAGCAGCAAUAAUUUUAUGGCUGGGAGCUGCCAUAACCUGGGGAACUAUCUCAAAGGGCGGUGGCACUAAGAAGGUUAGGAACUGCUGCUCUAGA